GGCUCGCUCCUGGACCGUUAAGGCAACAGUUGGCACCCAGCGUGGGGCUGGAGCAAAAGACCUCUACGAGUGCAAGUGAAACUACAGGGACGCAGAACCUGGGACGAUUGAGAGGCCUCUGGAAAUCUCCAUUGGAGCCUUGGUGUUGCCUCUGAGCCAUCCCAAGAGCACCUUCCAUGUUUCAGGGAAUCGCCCAGUGGUGAGUCACCCAGCUGCUCCCUGGGAUCUCUAUCUUUCUCUGCCCAGGUCAUGUGGUGCCUUAGCUGAACGGUUCUCAGAGGUCACCUCUCACUCUUGUACACGACUAUUGGGACGGUCGGCCAUUUUUGUGCCGAUAGUUGCACGGAGACGUCACUGAGACAAAAAGGGACGACUUUUUGCCAGUCGGUGGCUCUCAGUACCCCUGUUCUACGGCAUAGAGGCUAAGGAUGGGUUCUGGUAUGUCUUGGGAGCCUCUCUCAGAUUCACCCCUCGGCUACAUUCUCAGAAACUGGAAAAUUUUGACCCUGCAAAAGUCCUGGCCCCAAUACAAACUGGGGGACCCCCCCCCCCAAAAUGGCCUCUGAAUGGCACACUAGCUUUUGUCAAAAGCAGGGGAAGGACUCAGAAUUUCCUUACGGCCCUUCCUUCAGAAUCUGGAUUUGAGGGACUCAGGCCGCAUGUGUCUUUUUGCCUCCCUAUCUCCUUCCCUCUCUGUCUCUCUCCAUCAGAUUUCCUAGACAACCCCUACUCGACCUUUCAUAUCCACAUAAUCUCUAGGAAAGAAUUCUGAGGUUCCCUUUGGUCCAGGUCUUUCUCCUAUAUUCAAAAGCUUGAAGGAUCAAAAACUCUCCUUUAUGCUUAUCUCUCAGGUGGGGAGGGAACCAAGUUUCUCCCACUCCUAAACAUCCUAAAGAGUUCCCUUCUAACUAUUCCUGUUUCUCAGGGUGGAGAAGGACCAAGCUUCCCACACUCCUGCAAAUUUCCUUAACCCUUCAGAUUCUUCUGAUGGGACAAACACCUCACUUCCCACCAGAAGGACAAUCCAAGAAUUUUAUCAACUGAUCUACCCCUAAUAUCAGUCAAUUUGAGCAUAUUUGGUCUAUAAUUUAGGUGUAAAACUAUGACUACAGAAAGGAAAGAUGACUU